rnacentral:misc_RNA from 1 species
UCCGGUUUGUCACCGGCAGUCUGGCGUGAGUCCCCAACUAAAUGCUGGCAACAUACGACGGGGGUUGCGCUCGUUGCGGGACUUAACCCAACAUCUCACGACACGAGCUGACGACAGCCAUGCAGCACCUGUGCACGGACCCCGAAGGGGGGCCGGUGUUUCCGCCGGCUUUCCCGUGCAUGUCAAGCCUAGGUAAGGUUCUUCGCGUUGCGUCGAAUUAAACCACAUGCUCCACCGCUUGUGCGGGCCCCCGUCAAUUCCUUUGAGUUUCAGCCUUGCGGCCGUACUCCCCAGGCGGGGCACUUAAUGCGUUAGCGCCGGCACCCGGGGGGUCGCUCCCCCAGGUACCUAGUGCCCAUCGUUUACGGCGUGGACUAC